rnacentral:rRNA from 1 species
UACGGAGGGGGCUAGCGUUGUUCGGAAUUACUGGGCGUAAAGCGCACGUAGGCGGCUUGGUAAGUCAGGGGUGAAAUCCUGGAGCUCAACUCCAGAACUGCCUUUGAUACUGGCGACCUUGAGUCCGGGAGAGGUGAGUGGAACUGCGAGUGUAGAGGUGAAAUUCGUAGAUAUUCGCAAGAACACCAGUGGCGAAGGCGGCUCACUGGCCCGGUACUGACGCUGAGGUGCGAAAGCGUGGGGAGCAAACAGG